GCCUCGAUAGUGCAAUAAUUUGGGUAGCACGCCCCCCCCCCCCCCCGAAGGGUCAGAUGCGGGUUCGAUUCUUGUUUGAGGUU